rnacentral:rRNA from 1 species
GAUGAACGCUGGCGGCGUGCCUAAUACAUGCAAGUCGAGCGAACAGACGAGGAGCUUGCUCCUCUGACGUUAGCGGCGGACGGGUGAGUAACACGUGGAUAACCUACCUAUAAGACUGGGAUAACUUCGGGAAACCGGAGCUAAUACCGGAUAACAUGUUGAACCGCAUGGUUUAACAGUGAAAGACGGUCUUGCUGUCACUUAUAGAUGGAUCCGCGCCGCAUUAGCUAGUUGGUAAGGUAACGGCUUACCAAGGCAACGAUGCGUAGCCGACCUGAGAGGGUGAUCGGCCACACUGGAACUGGGACACGGUCCAGACUCCUACGGGAGGCAGCAGUAGGGAAUCGUCCGCAAUGGGCGGAAGCCUGACGGAGCAACGCCGCGUGAGUGAAGAAGGUCUUCGGAUCGUAAAACUCUGUUAUUAGGGAAGAACAAAUGUGUAAGUAACUAUGCACGUCUUGACGGUACCUAAUCAGAAAGCCACGGCUAACUACGUG